CUUAAGUGCGGCGGUCGCCCCGGAAGGUUUCGUUCAGUGAAUGUUCCCGGGUCACAGCCGCGCCUCGCUGCCAGGCCUGCAGUUUCAUCGCCUAGGGGUCUGGAUCUUGCACGUGCAGAGCUCCCGUUUCCUCUGCUAGGCUUGCCCCUGUCCUCCCGCCGCGCCGCGCCAGUUCUCCUGCAAGAUGUGUUUGCGUGAACGUGCGGGGUUUCCUGCUGUGCGCUCACCGCCUCAGGAGUAAGUCAGAGGCCGUUCUGCAAGCCCCUGACCGUUGGUGUUUUUGCUUAACACGUGUAGUUUUCGGUAAAGAGAUUUCCGGCGAGACAGGUGAAGAAAGCGAGAAGUUUGGCAGAGUGCUCGGGCACCUUAGGUAGGGCAGGUGGAGGAGAUUCUCUUUGAGUUGGGAUGCAAAGACUUGAAGCCAGGUCAAGGUUGGGGGUUGGGGGUGCCAGGCAGAGGCCUCGAGGCAGGGACGCCGGCGUGGCUGGGGCAGGCGAGCGCCAGGUCACAGGACCUCCUGGCUGCGGGAGCGUGGAUGCCACUGUGGGUUGAUGGGAGGCUACAGAGUGAGUUUGCUCAGGGAGUGGCAUCUGCUUUUACUGUUUAACUUCUGAAGGCUGUAUGGAAAGCGCAUCCUGGGGCUGAGAAGGAGCUGAAGACUACAGAGGUUUCCCCAGGCUCCCUCCCCCAGCUGCUUCCACCGUGGGCUUCUGCGCGAGAGCCUGGAAAGCGCUCACCUGGCCUCUCUUUCUUUUUGAUGGCAGGUCCAGCCUUUCCUGCCAAGGUGGCUGGCUGAGCCUAACUGUGUCAGAAAGAAUGUCACGGAAGAUCUGGUUCCUAUCGAGGACAUCCCUGACGUCCAUCCUGACCUGCAGAAGCAGCUGCGGGCACACGGCAUCUCGUCCUACUUUCCAGUCCAGGCAGCUGUGAUUCCCGCCCUCCUGGAGAGCGCAGCCUGUGGGUUUCUGGUGGGCAGAGGCGGCUACCGGCCUAGCGACCUCUGUGUUUCUGCCCCAACAGGCAGUGGGAAGACACUGGCCUUCGUCAUCCCUGUGGUGCAGGCCCUGCUUUCGAGAGUGGUCUGCCACAUCCGUGCCCUGGUUGUGCUGCCCACCAAGGAGCUGGCCCAGCAGGUGAGCAAAGUUUUCAACAUCUACACAGAUGCCACACCUCUGAGAGUCUCCCUGGUUACGGGACAGAAGUCUCUGGCCAAGGAGCAGGAGAGCCUCGUCCAGAAAACAGCUGAUGGGUACCGCUGCUUGGCUGACAUCGUGGUAGCCACCCCCGGCCGCCUGGUGGACCACAUCGACCAGACCCCAGGAUUCAGCCUCCAGCAGCUCCGCUUCCUGGUAUGUCCCCGCCCCAGGGGCCUGGGCUUUGAGCUCAGGGCCGCGCCACCCAGUCCCGGGCUCCCUGUCUCCUGCAGGUUAUCGACGAGGCUGACCGGAUGAUUGACAGCAUGCAUCAGUCCUGGCUGCCGCGGGUGGUGGCGGCCGCCUUCCAGAGCGAGGACCCCGCGGACCCCUGUGCCCUGUUCCAGCGAAGGCAGGCCCAGGCUGUGACAGCCGCCAGGUAUCCAGCAGCACUCCCAGGUGCUGGCCUCCCCUGAGCAGAGUCCUCUGCACACAGCUCUCCUUCCUUAAUGCCCAGAGAUAAGGCUGGCUUGAGCUCUGGUGCACAGAACCGCAUCGUUCUGUCACGUGAGCUGGACCCACCUUGCUCCUGGUCUACGGCAGUCUCUAUAGUGCAUAGCGUGAGGAAUCCUGUUCCCUGGAGGUUCGGGGCAGCCACUGGUAGGGUGCCAGCAACACCUCCUUCUCUUCCAGCACCUGCUGUCCCCAGAUGCCCCUGCAGAAGCUGCUCUUCUCAGCUACUCUGACCCAGAACCCUGAAAAGCUGCAGCAGCUCGGCCUCCACCAGCCCCGGCUUUUCUCCACAGGGCUAGCACACAGGGGCCUGGAAGAUACAGAUGGGGACGGGGAUUCGGGGAAGUAUGCCUUUCCUGUUGGGCUCACGCACCACUACGUGCCCUGCAGCCUCAGCUCUAAGCCGCUGGUCGUCCUGCACCUGGUCCUGGAGAUGGGCUUCUCGAGGGUUCUCUGCUUCACUAACUCCCGAGAGAACUCCCACAGGUGAGGCCCCGGCUGGGCGGGGGCGGCAGAGGUGGCCUCUGGUCCCAGCAUCACUUGGCUGCAGCCUUCUCUCUGCCUAGGCUCUUCCUGCUGGUGCAAGCUUUUGGGGGUGUGGACGUGGCUGAGUUCUCCUCGCGCUAUGGGCCUGGCCAGAGGAGGAUGAUCCUGAAGCAGUUUGAACAGGGGAAGAUCCAGCUGCUCAUCAGCACGGACGCCACCGCGCGAGGCAUCGACGUGCAGGGUGUGGAGCUGGUGGUGAACUACGACGCCCCCCAGUACCUGAGAACCUACGUGCACCGGGUUGGGAGGACAGCUCGCGCUGGGAAAACUGGACAGGCCUUCACACUGCUCCUGAAAGUGCAGGUGAGG
rnacentral:sRNA from 1 species